CAGUCGAACGGUAGCACAGAGAGCUUGCUCUCGGGUGACGAGUGGCGGACGGGUGAGUAAUGUCUGGGAAACUGCCUGAUGGAGGGGGAUAACUACUGGAAACGGUAGCUAAUACCGCAUAACGUCGCAAGACCAAAGAGGGGGACCUUCGGGCCUCUUGCCAUCAGAUGUGCCCAGAUGGGAUUAGCUAGUAGGUGGGGUAACGGCUCACCUAGGCGACGAUCCCUAGCUGGUCUGAGAGGAUGACCAGCCACACUGGAACUGAGACACGGUCCAGACUCCUACGGGAGGCAGCAGUGGGGAAUAUUGCACAAUGGGCGCAAGCCUGAUGCAGCCAUGCCGCGUGUAUGAAGAAGGCCUUCGGGUUGUAAAGUACUUUCAGCGGGGAGGAAGGUGUUGUGGUUAAUAACCGCAGCAAUUGACGUUACCCGCAGAAGAAGCACCGGCUAACUCCGUGCCAGCAGCCGCGGUAAUACGGAGGGUGCAAGCGUUAAUCGGAAUUACUGGGCGUAAAGCGCACGCAGGCGGUCUGUCAAGUCGGAUGUGAAAUCCCCGGGCUCAACCUGGGAACUGCAUUCGAAACUGGCAGGCUAGAGUCUUGUAGAGGGGGGUAGAAUUCCAGG
rnacentral:rRNA from 1 species